rnacentral:rRNA from 1 species
AGUGAACGCUGGCGGUGCGCCUAAGACAUGCAAGUCAAGUGGGGUUUAGACCCACGGCGAACGGCUGCGUAACACAUGGGUAUCUGCCCCGAACUCAGGAAUAACCCUCCGAAAGGGGGGCUAAUGCCGGAUAGUCCCGCAAGGGUAAAGCUUUUGCGGUUCGGGAGGAGCCUGUGGCCUAUCAGUUAGUUGGUGAGGUA